rnacentral:rRNA from 2 species
GGGUUGUGAGGUUAAGCGACUAAGCGUACACGGUGGAUGCCCUGGCAGUCAGAGGCGAUGAAGGACGUGCUAAUCUGCGAAAAGCGUCGGUAAGGUGAUAUGAACCGUUACAGCCGGCGAUGUCCGAAUGGGGAAACCCAGUGCAAUUCGUUGCACUAUCGUUAACUGAAUACAUAGGUUAACGAGGCGAACCGGGGGAACUGAAACAUCUAAGUACCCCGAGGAAAAGAAAUCAACCGAGAUUCCCCCAGUAGCGGCGAGCGAACGGGGAGCAGCCCGGAGUCUGAAUCAGCUUGUGUGUUAGUGGAAGCGUCUGGAAAGUCGCAGGGUACAGGGUGAUACUCCCGUACACUAAAGCACACAGGCUGUGAACUCGAAGAGUAGGGCGGGACACGUGGUAUCCUGUCUGAAUAUGGGGGGACCAUCCUCCAAGGCUAAAUACUCCUGACUGACCGAUAGUGAACCAGUACCGUGAGGGAAAGGCGAAAAGAACCCCGGCGAGGGGAGUGAAAAAGAACCUGAAACCGUGUACGUACAAGCAGUAGGAGCCC